rnacentral:rRNA from 1 species
AAUAGAUACCCAGGUAGUCCACGCCGUAAACGAUGAGUGCUAAGUGUUAGAGGGUUUCCGCCCUUUAGUGCUGAAGUUAACGCACUAAGCACUCCGCCUGGGGAGUACGGCCGCAAGGCUGAAACUCAAAGGAAUUGACGGGGGCCCGCACAAGCGGUGGAGCAUGUGGUUUAAUUCGAAGCAACGCGAAGAACCUUACCAGGUCUUGACAUCCUCUGACAACCCUAGAGAUAGGGCUUCUCCUUCGGGAGCAGAGUGACAGGUGGUGCAUGGUUGUCGUCAGCUCGUGUCGUGAGAUGUUGGGUUAAGUCCCGCAACGAGCGCAACCCUUGAUCUUAGUUGCCAUCAUUAAGUUGGGCACUCUAAGGUGACUGCCGGUGACAAACCGGAGGAAGGUGGGGAUGACGUCAAAUCAUCAUGCCCCUUAUGACCUGGGCUACACACGUGCUACAAUGGACGGUACAAAGAGCUGCAAGACCGCGAGGUGGAGCUAAUCUCAUAAAACCGUUCUCAGUUCGGA